rnacentral:lncRNA from 1 species
GAAACAUCUGCUCAGUAUUUCCCACUGGAGAGAAAGCAAAUAAUCUCUGAAAGGAACUGCCCAGUCUUCAUGAAGAACUGAGAACUACCGAAUCAAUCUAUAGUAUAGACAGUGACCAUUAAGAAAACUGAAGGAGAAAGUGAAGGACGCAAAACGAGUUCUAGUCCACUGUUACUUGUUUCCACGCACAGAUUCGUUCAUUGAUGGAGGUAUUUUAUACUCCUCCUAAAAACUAGAUUACAGAAAGUGAAUGGAGUAGAAUCAUUUCUGGUGGGUCUACACAAAGGUGGACUGUCAUCUACUUACUG